GACGAACGCUGGCGGCGUGCCUAAUACAUGCAAGUCGAACGCAGUGGGGACGGGUGAGUAACACGUGGGUAACCUCCCAUCAGAGGGGAUAACACUUGGAAACAGGUGCUAAACCGAUACUGAUGGAUGGACCCGCGAUGCAUUAGCUAGUUGGUGAGGUAACGGCUCAACAAGGCACCGAUGCAUAGCCGACCGUAGAGGGGGAUCGGCCGCACUGGGACUGAGACACGGCCCAGACUCAUACGUGAGGCAGCAGUAGGGAAUCUUCGGCAAUGGACGAAAGUCUGACCGAGCAACGCCGCGUGAGUGAAGAAGGUUUUCGGAUCGUAAAACUCUGUUGUUAGAGAAGCGGUAUAUAAACAGAAAGCCACGGAUAACUACGUGCGAGCAGCCGCGGUAAUAC
rnacentral:rRNA from 1 species